AUUGAACGCUGGCGGCAUGCCUUACACAUGCAAGUCGAACGGUAACGGGCCUUCGGGUGCCGACGAGUGGCGAACGGGUGAGUAAUACACCGGAACGUGCCCGAUCGUGGGGGAUAACGAGGCGAAAGCUUUGCUAAUACCGCAUACGAUCUACGGAUGAAAGCAGGGGACCGCAAGGCCUUGCGCGGACGGAGCGGCCGAUGGCAGAUUAGGUAGUUGGUGGGAUAAAAGCUUACCAAGCCGACGAUCUGUAGCUGGUCUGAGAGGAUGAUCAGCCACAGUGGGACUGAGACACGGCCCAGACUCCUACGGGAGGCAGCAGUGGGGAAUUUUGGACAAUGGGCGCAAGCCUGAUCCAGCCAUGCCGCGUGCAGGAUGAAGGCCUUCGGGUUGUAAACUGCUUUUGUACGGAACGAAAAGCCUUCUUUUAAUACAGGAGGGUCAUGACGGUACCGUAAGAAUAAGCACCGGCUAACUACGU
rnacentral:rRNA from 1 species